GUGGGGAAUUUUGGACAAUGGGCGCAAGCCUGAUCCAGCGACGCCGCGUGGAGGACGAAGGCCUUCGGGUUGUAAACUCCUUUUGGAGGGGAAGAAUAAAUUGACGGUACCCUCAGAAAAAGCCACGGCUAACUACGUGCCAGCAGCCGCGGUAAUACGUAGGUGGCGAGCGUUACUCGGAAUUACUAGGCGUAAAACGUAUGUAGGUGGUUAGAUAAGUCUAUGGUGAAAUUUCCUGGCUUAACUGGGAAGGGACAUAGAUACUAUCUGGCUUGAGUGUGGGAGGGGGAGACGGAAUUCCUGGUGUAGCGGUGAAAUGCGUAGAUAUCAGGAGGAACACCGAUGGCGAAAGCAGUCUCCUGGCCCAAUACUGACACUGAGGUACGAAAGCUAGGGUAGCAAACAGGAUUAGAUACCCGAGUAGUCC
rnacentral:rRNA from 1 species